UGCACUACACUACACCGGUAAGAAGAUAUACAUCAUACAUGAACUUAACGGUAAACGGUUAAAAAACUAGUUGGUUUUAUAUUUAAAAUAUUGGUGGGUGGAGUUUGGCCUGAUGCGAUUACGUCGAAGAUAAGAGUAAUUAUUUUAUAAAAUAAUAAUAAGAGAUGCAGCAAUCAGAAUUACUUGUACAUGUUUGCAUGUUCUUCUUUCCUGAUUGGACUGGUUUUUUUGUAGUCUUCCCUGUUCCCCACUGGAGUCUCCCGUCCACACUGCUGGUCCAAAGUCCUAAUAAGUUGCAGUGUCGGCGAGUACACUGCUCCACUCAAUCAACUCAAGGACGCACCUAACUAGUGCGAGUCGUGUCUACUUGGUAACCACUAUUCUCUCUGAAUUGGUGUUCCUGCUGUUUUGGAAUUUCGUAUGAUUCAUUACCAGAUAGUAUUUACUGUUGAUGCAUUCAUUACCAGAUAGUAUUUUGCUGCACAUAUAUAUAAUCAGAAUCAAGAUUGAUGGAACACCAUACCAUACCAUACAUUUCUCCAGUAGAUCAUGUGGUUGUUGCAUGAUGCCCACUUCAUGAUAUUCCUUUAAAUUGUUUCUUCUUCUUCUUUGCGAAAGGGCAUUUAUAUCCGCCUUCCAAUGCUUACAUUUCAUACAAGAACCUGCAAUUUGCUGAAUCAAACUAAUCAAAAUUUCGAUGCAAAUUCAUUAAGCGGGAGCUCCAUUCAUCAGUUAAUCUAUGUGCGUUACAUAAUUAUCCAAUCUAUAACAAUGAGGUCAUCCAAACCUCCCACUCUCUAUAUAUGCGACCAAAGUCGAAUAAAUAGCUUAAACCAACGAUCAAAAGCAGUAUGAUGUGUAUUAUAAUAUAUUUAAUCAUGCGCACUUUAUUACCAUCCUAUCCAACUCACGUACUCAUAUUUAUGGCAUCCAACAUGGCUUAGGUGUACAAAAGAUGAAUUCGAGAUCAUCAAAAUUUGUGGAGCUACGGUGUAAGAUCCUAUGUCGGUCAAUAUGUACCAUUCAUGUGCUCUCCAAGUCUCAUUUAUUCUUUUUACGCCUUCUCCAUCAUAUUCCCCUCAUUCCGUCGGAGUUAAUUCAUUACAUGAUUGAUGUGGAUGCCAACGGUCAUGUCUAUAUAGAUGAGGACGAAUCCAUAGAGAAAUUACUAUUGUCCUCUAGCUAUUCCACCGACUGCUCUUUCCGGCCUUAGUACCAUAGGACACCUCCCUCUCGCACCCAACCCUGGUGUGUGGCGACAUCUGAUGUCCAUUGCCCCUGACUGACAAAUGGAAGUAGCGGAGUUCGGUUGUGUUUGAGCACCCCUAACUCCACCCUCAUUGUCCCCACGGAUAGUUUUUCCGGGAAGUAUCAGAGCUCCCCUUGCUUGCCUCUCAUUCUAGGGGGUCAUAUCCGCUUUGUGUGUUCAUAAAAUUAGUAAGAUAUAAAUAUACUCAAAUUUGACUAGUUCAACUCAAAUUAAUAAAUGAAGAAAGUAAGACAUAAAAAUAGGUGUAUAUAUGAUAACAGUUCAUAAAAAUAAACAAAUAUACAACCUUAAUAACCAAACUUGGGCUUUUUGUUAUUGACAGAACCAUAACUUGGGCUUUUUGUUUAUAAUUUCGAUCUUCUAACAUCCAGUUUAAAACCGUAAUCAUAUCGACGCUAGAGUCGAUUCGAGCAUAAACUACUUAGCCUACCCCGACCUCAAGCAAAACGAAACCAAAACAGAACAUCUAAGCAACAACACCAAAUUCCAACAAAGCAACAAAAGCAACGAAACACAAAGGGAAUAAACCAGCCUUGUGAGUGUAUGUGGAUGUAGCAACCAGAGCUCCCACCCACCCCAACGUUGUUCAUGCCAGCGGCCGAACUGCCCCAAGUGGACUCACCUGGCAGCUGUCAACUUAAUAAAGAAAUUAUUUAACAAUUUUUAAACCGCACAUUGUUAUUUUUAGCAAUCAACUCAUAUAAUAAUUUCUAAUCACUUAUCUCUAAAAUAUUUUAAAUUGCAAUUUCUUAACAAAUAAUCAUUUUAAAUAUUCCACCAUAAAUCCCUAAUUGUAUUGAAAAUUAUUACUCAAACCACUAAAAUAAUCGCCAGCCUGUUCGCUAGUUUAUAUUUUAUUAAUUUUUAAUUUUUAAAUUGACAUAAUUUAAUUUAAAUUAUUAAUGAAUAAAUUUUAAUACUUUAAUAUAAAAUUUAAGCGUUAAUUUAAAGAUUUGAAGAAUUCAAAUAAAAUUACUCUAGUGGUAAAAUAAUAUGUCUGAUAAAUUGAAGAUUUCGAAUUCAAAUCUAUUACACACCAUAAAAUGAACAUUAUUGUUAUUUUUACUUGUAAUAUUAAAGAUAGUUAAAGGGAAAUAAUAACGACGAGGACGGAAAUGCCCUAUGGGAUUGGUGCAAUGGAUAAUGAUGAGAGAUUUUAGGCUAAAAGUUCUGGCUCAGUGUCAUGUCUCUAUGAUGAUGACGGAUGGGAUUGUCAGCAUAUGAAACAAUACAACGUGAGUCGAAGUGAAGUCCUUUGUUUCUCUCUGGUUUGGCAAGGUAUCCCUAGCUAGUACUGUACGAUCUCUUGGUUAGUGACUAUGGAUCGCAUCUGAUCUCAUUAAAGACAAGAUGACUAGCUGGAUGUCUACCAUUGAUAUCAGUUGCUUAAUUUGUAAGAAUUCCACUCUCUUCUGUGAGUGUCAGUAUUCAAGGGCUCUCCUCUAGUCGUUGUUACUUGAGCUAUCAACUACUACUGAUUGGGAGACUGCUCCGUAUAUAGUUUAUUGUUGACAAUUGGAAACGUAGGUAUGCACGGAGUCCAGUUAAGGCCAACUCAAUGGUGUGUUGUGAUGUCGUCGUCAUGAAAUUUUUUGAAUUAUCGGCCGUCAAUUCAGAUAAAACCAAUGAUAUUGUUAUAUUCCAAAAUUUAAAUUCAAAUCCCUAAAAACAACAUCAAAUACUACAACUCCUCGACUAUAUUUAAAUUCAUUAUUAAACUUCAAAUUUCAAAAGCCAUGCACACUUUGUCCCAAAAAUGGGAACGGCUACACAAUAUUUAUUCCCAAUUAUAUAUUUAUUGUCUCCUAGAAGAACUAACAAUCCUGUUGAUAGUGUUAGAAUUUAUAGUAAUUAUCUAUCCUGAUCUGCAUAUUUUUAAGUGAAUAUUAGCUUGUUCGAGCUUUAGUCCCGUGCGAGUUUGUGUUUUGGCAUUAUGUGCCUAGACCCGUUCACUUGGAUUGUUUCAGUCCAUUUGAUAUGUUUCUUUGUAGUAUUUGUUAUCCAUAUGCACUCUAGAGAUAGAUGGUUUUGUUAUGAAGCUAUGAACAUGAUGUAGAACACAGUUGGAGCUCGAACGGAAGAUCGAGAAAGGAAAUGGAAAAAUAGAAGGGUUGCACGGUGUGCAGGCCUGAAAUUGUUGAAAAUCACGGCCCUAAAACAGGCGAACGGUGUGCACCCCUGCACGCCGUUCCACCAUUCAGCUACGUGGGAUUCUGAAGACAAGGAGGUGCAUGUCGUGCACCCUCCAGUUUCGGCAGCUUCCUAUAAAGGGCAGAUUUUGAGGAAAGAGAGGAGAUUUCCCCAUAACGAAUUCCUUCAUUUUUUCCACAAUCUCCCCUCUACAAAAACAUCAUUCUCCAUCUCUAGAAGUCCAAUUGAAUAUCAACCCCAUUGAAAAUUGAAGGUAAGAUUGAAACUAGGAGAUUAAAAGCGACGAUUAGUGCAAGAUCAAUUCAUCAUCUCCUCAUCAAGAUGAUGGUUAGGUCGAAUUAUGAUUUGUCUUCUUCUAGAAUCAUGAGUAGCUAAUUUUUUAGAGUUUCUUGGUUGAUAUGUAGGAUUUGAGCUAUGAUACUCUCCUUAAAAGUAUAGGGUCGACGAUUGUUGGAUAUUUGGAUUCAAAUGAAUGAUUUCUUUGAUUGUUGGGUUUUCAACCUAGUUCUUGUUACUACUUAAUUAGGCCAAAUCUAUGAAAUCUUUUAUUUGAUAAAUUCUGGAAUUCAUAUGAUUAGCAAUAUAAGAUAGAUGAAAGCUAUCAGUGGGGUAAGCCAAUAGGUCGAUUCUACCUUUUGUGUUUCUUUUAGUUUUAAAGGUUGUUCAUCUUGUAAUUGGCGGGCGCUCUGGUUUCCACCUAAUGGACCAAGUUGGAUGUAGUUAUCAAUAGCUUAGGUAUUGAUGGACCAAGUUAAUACUAAUUCUGAUUACUCGUGAUUUACUUUAAUCCUGCAAGAGCACCUUAUCACUUUGUAGAACUUCUCGGUGUUCAUUACCGGUUAGUCUUGUUUAGGGUAUUCCAACAUUGGUUUGGGAACAAAACUAGUAGUGGUAAUCUGCGUGCAUGAUCGUGUCGUGGAUUCAUACGGGUGAUAAGAUGAUUCAUAUUAUUUAAUCCAAGUCCAACGUUUGUUCGAUCCGACUGCUAUUAGGAAGUUGAACUUGAUGAAUCAUCUCAUCCAAGAGCUUGUUUUCUCCUCUUUUUAUCAAACCUUAAUUAUUAGUUGUAAUUGAAUUAGUAGUAUAAUUAGAAACCAAUCUCAAUUGUUUUAGUCGAAACCGUGUGUUAGGUUUAAAUAAAAGUAUAACGAGAGGAACCUUUGGACACAUACGACACUUAUAUUGUUGAAAUAACUUCACAAAUAUUUUAACGAUCACCUGUCAUAUUUCUUUAUCAUUAUUUAAUCCAGGAAUCAUUUUUGAUACUGCGUAUAUACGUAAUGUGACAUUAUAAAAUAUUAUAUCACUUGCAUGUCACGACUCGCGAAGAACAGAUUGAUGUUCUCCGAGAUAACUCAUGUCGUAUUCUUUUUCAUUUGUGUUACUAUCGGUGCGGGGUACGUAUCAUAGCUAAUUAUCACUUUUAUUUAGAUAAUUACUAUAAUUAGCAGAUAAUAACAAAAUCAAUUAUUUGUUACAUAUUAUUUAUUCCUUUCUUCCCUAACUUCUACCAAUAAUUCGAUCGUACUACCGACUAGGGAGCGAAGACCUUUUUUUUUUUUACAAUAGGGAGCGAAGAUUUAAAUGAUUAUAUAUUUGAUAAUUUUUGUUUGACGAAAUUAUAUAGUUAAUAAUUAGUUCCGUAGUAACCAAUAAUUCUUGAUAUCGUCAUCGCCACGAAUUCUCCGCCAUUUUUAUUAAUAAUAUUCAUAAAACUCCACCGUUAUUGGCUAAUGGCUAGGGUUUGUCCAUUUGCACAGUUCGACCCUAAAGCAUCAGAGUUUUGGAAUCUGCUCCAGUAAGUUCAAUUGCAGCACCACAGUCCACAAGUGAUAACACCAAUUGUUUUUUUCGUAUAACAUCACACUAACUUCAAUCCUCUAGCUAAAACGCAUGAACAAUAAGCCAUACUUUAUUUUCUAUUUCAUUUUUUCAAAUAUUAGUUAAUUUCAUUUUUAAUUAAUCUAACUUAGCAAAAUGUAAUUCAAUUUUUUUGACCGAAUGUGUACUUCAAGCUUUUUAAUAGUUGUUCAUGAUAAUUCGACUAAAACAUUCAAUGAAAUUGAGGUAAAUUUGAAGUAUGUUUUUUUUCAAAUCAAGAGAUUUCCAUUCAUAGAGCAAAAAUUUAAGGUUUACAUCUGACAUAAUUGGAAGGCGCUUCCUAAAAGAUAACAAGGGAGAAAUAUAUAACUGAACUAGUUAGAUCACUUCACAUCCUUUUUUUUCCAAACCGUCCGAUGGGUCUCCGACAAAUGUUACGGUGAUUUUUACAACGAGUUUUCGAUGACUUCUCCGAAAAAAAUUUAUGACUAGUUAUAAUAUUAAAUAAUUAGUUACAAUAGUAGCUAGUUUUCCAUGAGAUAUUUUUAUCAUAAAUGAAAAAGAAAAGGAAAAACAUAAAAUACCUAAUAAUGGAAGGACAGGGGUUGCUGGAGUAGUUGUGCCAGAGCACAGUAUUACUAUAAAUAGCCUUACAGAUCUAUAUAGCACCGUACAAGCCUUACACACAGUCAUAAGUAUUAAGUAAUAUCCUUCUAUAGAUCAUUUUCAUUCUUCUUUUAUAUAUAUAUAUACUUCCGGCCGGUCGGCAUGGAGGAGACAGCAACGUCUGCAGUACUGGUAGCGGUGGUGCUGGGAGCUCUACCACUCGUCGUACUGACGAUAUGGUGGUGGAACGAGCUACGAUUUGCUUUGCCCGUAAAGAUGAAACUACGCGGCAGCGGAAUUAUUCUCCCCGCUGGACACAUGGGGAUGCCUUUCUUCGGCGAAAUGCUCACUUUCCUCUGGUACUUCAAAAUCGUCAAACGUCCAGACGAGUUCAUCGACUCCAAGCGACGCAAGUAUGGGGAUGGAGUCGGAUUGUACAGAAGCCACCUGUUCGGUAAACCCACGAUUAUAGCGUGCUUGCCGGCGGUGAGCAGGUACGUGUUCCAGAAAGAUGACGCUUUUAUCCUCGACUGGCCCAGCCUUGACCUCGUGGGUCCUACUUCACUGGUUGCGGUUCACGGGUCCCACCACGCCAGGCUCCGAAGGUUCCUAACCAAUGCUAUUAACCACCCUGUUGCCCUUCGCCGGAUCGCAUCUCUCGUCCAGCCCAAUCUAACUUCCGCUUUGCAGUCCUGGGCCCACACCGGCAGAGUCAACGCUUACAAACAAGUCAAAAAGGUUGUCAAUUACUCAAUAUUUUCUCGUUAUCAAAUUCAUAUAUCACUGAAAACGUUCAGGGCGGGUUUGAUUUUUGGACUUUGGUUAAAAGUGAUUUGAAAUAAUUCAAUUAUUUUAAUAAAAAUAUUUUAAAUAUAUAGUUUAUGAAAUAAAUAGCUGGUGUCUGGUUGUUUAGUACGUGGAUAUUUCUAAUUUGUGAAAAAUAUUAAUUAACAUAUUUAGUGAAAUAAUCCGUAUGUCCGUGUCAAAAGAAUAACUAGUAGGUCCCUCUUCUUAUCUCAUUCUUUUAAUAUAUAUAUUUUUACUCUCUGAUAAAGAUAAUUUGAUAUUCCUCCACUCAAGUUAUUAUUCAUUAGACGUUCCGAAAAUUCAUCUUCAAUUAAAAGAUUUUUUUUAAGGUGUCAAAAUCUAAUAAUUAUUGGUGGGCCACAUGGAAAUUUUAAAUCACCUUCAGAUUUCCUUCAGCCUUUUUCACAAAUUAUUCGACCCCGAGCCUCAAAUUAGAGUAGAAUCAAAGGUGGUUCGAGAUUCCAGGCAGGAUUGUACAAUUUAAAAGUCUAAUUUAUAUAACAAUUUGACAUAAACUACCAUUUCAAAAAGUUUACACAAAAUUGUAUCGCUCUUGAAUCAGAGGACCUUGAACGGUGGCCUAGAUGGCCCACACCCCGUUCUGCCAGGCCUGAUCAAGUCAUUUGGACAAAAAGCAUGAUACAUUAUAUGAUAUGAAAUAUAUGCACGUACGUAUGCAGGUGACAUUUGAGAACAUAGGAAGAUUAUUCGCAAGCUUGGAAGCAGGGCCAGAAUUGUUUGCAAUGGAUGAACUGUUCCAAGGGAUGACCGAAGGGUUUAGAGCUCAGCCUCUCAACUUGCCUGGAACUGCAUAUCACCAUGCUCUUCAGGUUGGUUGGUUGGUUGGUUGGUUUCCUUAGCUUACACGUAUCUACUAAUUACAAAAUAAAGUGGUCUAGUGUCCCAUUAAUUAUCUACUAAAAACAAAAACAGUGCAGGAAGAAGGUGACAGAUAUAUUCAGGAAGGUGCUGGAGAAAAGGAAGGAGGCGGAGAAUGAGGAGGAUGACGAUCUAAUGGACGGAUUAAGAAGAGUGGAAGACGAGGAUGGAAAUAGAUUGAGUGACGAGGAAGUGUUGGAUAAUAUCGUAAGCUUUGUGAUUGCUGGAUACGAGUCAACUUCCCUUUCCAUCAUGUGGUCUACUUAUUAUCUUGCCAAAUACCCCCACGUCCUCGCCAAACUAAGGGUACGUACGUAAUACACAUAUUGAACCUAAUUAUGUAAUUUUGGUCUUAAUUUGCAUGAUUCAUGUUAUAUUUGUUUACUAUAGGAGGAGAACAUGGCUCUACGGAAGAACAAGGCUGAUGGGGAGUUCAUUACAAGUGAUGACAUCGCAAAACUCAAGUACACUAAUAAGGUACUGCGACAACUAAGUACUAACAUGGAUCACCCGUUGCGUAAAAUAUUUAUUUGGGGGCUUAUGAGUUGAUCAUGUAUCAGGUGGUGGAAGAGACCAUAAGGCUAGCCAACAUUGCAGCUGUUGUUUUCAGAUUGGCAACCAAAGAUGUUGACUACAAAGGUAACUACUCUCAUCUAUAUAUAUAACUCCAGCAUGAUUACGUACAAGUAGUGAUGAGUUUGGAGAAUUUACAACAGGUUACAGAAUUCCGAACAAGUGGACAGUAGCAGUAUGGAUUCGAUAUCUCCACACAAAUUCUCAGAAUUACAACGAUCCUAUGUGUUUCAACCCAGACAGAUGGGAUGUAAGCCACCACUUUAAUACUACUGCUAUAUAUUAACAAUAUUAUGCAGAUAUGUCUGUGCUAAUUAUAAUUUAAUAUUUAUUUAAUUUUUGGGUGAAUCAAUGAUCUGCAGGUAGCUCCAUCCCCUGGAUCGUACCAAGUGUUUGGCGGAGGAUCGAGGAUUUGUGCUGGGAAUAUGCUGGCCAGAAUACAACUCGCUGUCUUUCUUCAUCACUUGUCCACCGGUUACAAGUACAACUUCACCACUUCAAAUUUUCUUUUUCCUAUUUAUGUAUAUACUAUAUAUGAUGGUUCUAUAUACGAAUUAUUUUUUAAGAUAUAUGAUAAUUAAUUUCAGGGCAUUCUUUGUAUAUGGCAGGUGGGAACUCGUAAAUCCUGAUGCUCCUAUGAUCUACUUGUCGCAUCCUACUCCCACCGAUGGUGUCGAGAUUUCAAUCGCCAAGCUUUGAUAUAUUUGUGUUUUUUCUGUGUUCUUUCUAUGUGUUUUUUCAAGGUUCAAAAAGGCGUUAGGCCCAACGUUGGCGUUAAAGUAUUGCCUAGCGCCUUGCUCGAUUAAUCGUUGUCUAGGCGCGUUUAGGCGAGAAAAAAAUUGUAAUAAGGAUCUAUAGCACCUUGUACUUUAACGAUAAACGAUGCAAAAAGUCUAAACGAUAUGUUCCUCUGUCGAGCUAACAAAUAAUCUAGACUUCUUCCUAAGCGACCUAUCAAUCUAUGUUCCUCUCGGACCCACAAAUCAAUGCCAAAGAUUCAAUCAAGACAGCCAGGCAAAUUCAAUCAAAAAUUAGGUUUAGCAAGAACACAUCAUAAGGCUGAAUAACCUCGAUAACAAAUCAAAGGGUUAGAACCCCAUCAUCCAUACAAAAGCUAGACUAAAACUUCAUCUCAUCCGAACAACAUAAAAGGUUUAGCUACUCAUGGUUCAAGAAACAAGAAGGGAAAAAGAAAGGAAAAUAACCCGGAAAGAAAACAUGUUUCGUCGAGAAAUCUCUGUCUUGUCGCCGAUCUUCGAUCCUUCUCCAAUCGUUGAUGUUCUCUCACUUCAAUCGAUCUCUGGAACUCUUUCUCUCUCUAAGAACUCGAAAAUAUGCCUGUAAUAAAGUUCGUCUCAUCGAAAGGGCUGCUCGAGCUAUUUAUAUCGCCCCUGCCAAAAUGGAGAAGGAAACAGCUUGAAAAUCCGUCUGAAGGUGGGGCACGUCGUGUUCCCUAAGAAACACGGGCGUGUUCUUACCGAAAGGAGGUCUCGGGUUAUUUUCCAGAGAAAAGGACACGGUCGUGUCCCUGAGGAACACGCUUGUUCCUCUUCAACUUCAGUAAAUCUUCGCCCCGAACAACUUAAACCGUCCGUCUUAGUUCCCGCUUGUCCCCAAACGAAGUACAUCGCCUGAGAAUGCAUGAAAAAACAUCCCAACCAGCGUAAUAUAGCCCCGAGGGGCAAGAGAACUGAUGACACUUGAUUUGUCGUGUUCAUCGCCCUCGUUUAAGCGACAUUUCAUGCAUAUUCGUAUAGUUUUGGGCAGAAAUUUAGGAUAUUUUGUGCAUUUCUAACAUCUAUCUCAAUUUAGUGUCUCAGACUCGUUCAUGGUCCAUCUAAAGUUAUUUUGGAGUGUUGUUUAUAGAUUUCAGAAUCACGGCAACAUCGGGGCAUCAUUAGGAGCUAUAUGGUGUGCAAGGAGGAGUUGAAUGCAUCGAAGAAUGGAGAAAAUCACCAGAUCCGCGUUGAAGACAAAAAUGCGCCUAACAUAGACCAGAAGUGCGCUACAUACUUUUGGUCUGUUAGGGCGCACUUUUGGUCCUAAAUCAGAUGUCAGGUGUGUGACAUUUAUACCAAAAAUGUGCCUUAAAUAUACCAAAAGUAUGCAUUGCACUUUUGGUAUAUAUACGGUGCACCUUUGGUAUCUUGCAGGCAAAAGGAAAUGCCUCCUUAAAAGCCCAAGACUUCUCCAGAACAAAAAAGGACUCGAUUUUUCAUGACUUUCCUCUGCAAAAACCACCAUUAUUCCACCGCCUAGAAGUUUAAUUGAAGAUCAAAAGGAGUCAUCAUUAAAGAUUGAAGAUAGGAUUGAAGCUAGAAGAUUAAAAGCUACGAUUAGAGCAAGAUCAAUUCAUCGUCUCCUCAUCAUGAUGAUGGUUGGAUUUGAAUGAAAGUUAAUUUGAUUGUUGGGUUUUCAACCUAGUUCUUGUUACGACUUGAAUUAGGUCAAAUAUAUGAAAUCCUUUGUUGGAUAGACUUAGGAGUUCAUAUGAUUAACAAUCUAAGAUAGAUGAAAGUUAUCGGUGGGAUAAGCCAAUAGCUCGAUUCUACCUUUCACGUUUCUUCUAGUUUUAAAGGUUGUGCAUCUUGUAAUUGACAGGAGUUUUGAUUUUUACCUAACCAAGUUGGGUGUAGUUAUCAGUAGUUUAGGUAUUGAUCGACCAAGUUAAUACUAAUUUCGAUUACUCGUGAUUUCCUUUAAUCCUGAAAGAGAACCUAAUCACUUUGUAGAACUUCUCGGUAUUCAUUACCGAUUAGCCUAAUUAAGGUUAUUCCAACCUUGAUUGGGAAGCUAGGAGUGGUAAUCCGCGUGCAUGAUCGUGAUGCGGAUUCAUACGAGUGAUAAGAGGAUUCAUUUUGUUCAAUCCAAGUUCAGCGUUGCUCGAUCUGAUUACUUUUAGGAAGUUUAGCUUGAUGAAUCAUCUCAUCCAAGAGCUUGUUUUCUCCCCUUUGAUCAAACCUUAAAUUCUCAGUUUUAAUUGGAUUAGUAGCAUUAUUAGUAACAAUCUCAAUUAUUUUAGUCUAGAUCGUGCUGUUAAAUAUGAGUAAAAGCAUAACGAGAGGAACCUUUGCACACAUACGACACUUGUGUUGUCGAAAUAACUUCACAGUUAUUUGGGCGAUCAAGAACUAAAUAUGUACUCAAAAGCCUGAGUUUGAAUACAUUUUGACACACAAAAAUAUAGUUCAUAACGAGAAUAAAUGUGUCAAAAAUACAUCAUAUCAAUCUACAAGUGUACAUGCACUUUCAUCAGGAUAUGAACAUGAGAUGAUAAGAUUGAUUAGGGAGUUAGAGACUAACCGACUCAAACGUACUCCAAUUUCUCUCACAGCCUGAAGAACUUGCGGUCAAAGAAAGGAUCCUUAUUGCUAACUUAUGCUAAUUUGCUACAUGGCCUCCAUACAUUCUCCAUCAAGCCACUAGGUAAAUAGAAGUAACAGUCACAUUGAGUCAAAGUUCUAAAGUCAAAGGAAGUAAGAAUUGAGAAACAGAACUAACCUGGAUUAUAGUCAAAGUUUUGACAAGUCCUUGCAAGAGCCUUUCAAAAGUUGCCUUCUCUCUUUGAAAUUGAGAGAAGUCAUAGUUGACAACUUUCGGAAAUCAUCAAAGAUCGAUAAGUCAGCAUAGCUAUAAUAUGGAUUCAAUAAGUAUGUUGUUAUCAAUAGUGGAGCAUCGAGUCUCCCGGUCAUCUUUUUGUUGACAAUGUUCAUCACUUCUUUUCUACAUUUCCAAGAGCAUCUUUGAUCUCCCUUUUUGCUUACAUGACUUCUCCAUAAACAAAACCCAUAGAUGGCUUCACAUCUCCAUCAACCAGACGAAGAAGUCUCACCAAUGAUUCAAACACUUUUAAACAAAGUUGCACACCCUUCCAAAAGGGGGAUGUAGCAUUGUUGCUUUAGCAUCUUUACCUCUUUUGUGUGUACAUCUUUCAAACUACUCCACUUGAUGUCCA
rnacentral:lncRNA from 1 species